rnacentral:sRNA from 2 species
CUCGGGUGGAUGCCGAGUCCUGCCACCACCCGCAGGUCCGUUCGACACGCAUGGCAGGAGCGGGGGAACCAAUCCGGGCAUCGGCCUCCGAUGCCCUUGGGGUGAAGUCCCGGGAGCGCAAGCGACCAGGACCGGGUGAUCUCCCACCCGAACCCGACAGCUCACCUCGCAGGCAUCGGAGAGGUACG